CAACAACUUCUUCGCCGUCGCCGCCAUGCGCCAACCCCGCUGUCGCCCGUUGAUCCGGCUGCGCACCUCACCCUCGUCGCUCUCCCUGGCCCAGCAACAUCACCCACUCCCUGCUCUUCCUCCCGACGCGGAAGUGUCCUUUCGAGUCUCGUCUCCGUCUUCGUGGUUCUCAGAUCUGGCAGCCUCCGACCACAACGCUGCCGGAUCUAACCAACCAAUAGGUGCUCGACGCCGCUCCUCAGGACCGCGUCGAUCUUCUUCGUCUGCUCUCUCUCUCCCCCUCAACCUCCCACGGCAUGUAUCGGCCCCUUCUGAAACUCCUCAUCCGAGUGGCCACCUGAUGCCGCCGUGUAGAACACGCUCACUCCUGCCUUUGCCCGCCUGUACCAGGAUUUGCUCCUGUGGUUCAAGUUGAAUACCGGGGAGAUGGAGAUGGUGACAUGGCUGGCUUCUGUGGUGGUGAGGUUCAAGUUCUACAACGAGGUGGCCGUUGGGCCUAUCUGAAGAGCAACAAUGUAACGCUUUUGAGCUUAGGUACAAGAAGUCGUAUUUGAAAGGGGACGAGAUGAUGUUCAUCAAAAUGAAACUGACACAUUUAGUUAUGCGCCAAUUUAUUUCUAGACAGCAUGAGCAUGGAGAAACAUAUAUGUGAAAGGUUGGUCUAUCUGAAGAGCAACAAUGUAACGCUUUUGAGCCAGCGUACAAUGGCUUUCAAGACGCAUGCUACAGAUAACUUGCUUCGAGUCCUGCUCUUUUUAUUUGAGGUGUUUUCUUAGCUUACCACGUUGCCUAGGUGGUACUAUUGUAGUAUAUAUAAUGUAUGCACCUGCUUGUGCCCUAUUUUCCUAGAUGUGCCCUAUUUUCCUAGAUGUGGCUCAUAACUUAGAAAUCUAUCGUUUGGCUAUUUUCUUUACACUAAAUCCAUCUUAAUUAAGGUGCCAGGGGAAAUUUGUUGUUGAAUUCAUAUAGGCAAAUAUGUUACUAUAAUCAAUUACAAUAAAAUCAUUUGCACAGAGAAAAUUUCAACAUUAGACAAUAUGAUUUGGCAUGUUUGACCCUCUGUCAGGCAUCCUCCUUUCUAGCUUUUGUUUUUCCCUGUAAUGGCUUUGCCUCUUUUGGUCCUGAACUUUUGAGACCAUGAUGCUUUUGAGAAUGUAUGGAAAGCUUGGUUUCAUUAUAACAAUGGAACCAGGGUCUAAAAAAGUGGACAUUGUUGAGAAGAAUUGGAAGUACAUACAGAAAUACUGGUAGCUUUAACCAUGGAGAAUGAUUUUGACCUCUCAUACGAAACAUAAGAAGUGGCUUAAUUUAAUUAGGUAUGUGUAGUAUAAUCUAAACUAUUGUUGGUGGAGAUUUAGUGUGAGCUGCUGCUAUUUUUAAUUUGUUUUGAAUGAACAAACAAAUUAUAUAUUUCUUUACAUGGCAUUCUUAACCAGUUUACUGUAUGCCCAAACUGCCCAGUAGUGGUUUGCUAGUCUACUACUGCAAAAUAUAAACGUUGGUAUAUACUUCAGUGGGGUUGUAGAUGUCCAUUGUACUUGGUUAAUAUAUUUUUUUGUAAUCGCAACAAGCCAAUGAACCGAUUAUCGACGCCGCAUUGUAUCUUUCAGAUAAGGAUUUUUUUUACCUGUAUCACCUGUCCAUCUUGGUGUAACCAUAGCACAUGCGGGUUCUGGAGAUAUGAUUAAUAAAAUUAAUUAGAAAAAUGUCAUGUUCUUUGAAUUAUAUGAAUGUUACAAGUAAUUCGAAAAGCAUGAUGUAUUCUGAACCGUUGCAAACUUAUUAUGAAAUUGAAAUCAGUGUGGUUUAUUGGUAGAUUAUUCCUUUAGUACACAGAGCAAUGUGUAGUCCUCAAUCUUUAUUAUUUGGAGUAUGUGUUCCUGGUGAUUCAUGUUACCCUGAAAAUUGCAUGUGAAGGAUCAAAAGGUUAAUACGUAGUGAUACUGUUAGAUAGCAGCUAACCAGUCAAUUAGAACAUCUAAGUUUUGUCAUUGUAUGCUCAAUUAAAUUUCAACUAGAUUACACAAUUUUCAUCUCCCUUACAACUACUCUAAUCAUUUCUUAGGAGUGGGAAACAAUACAGGAGGAAUCGUGAUCUAUGGCAAGGGUGAUGAUGUCUAUGGCGAUGAUUGUCAUGAUCUAUAUGGCAAUGGGCGUUAUGAUCCAUAUGGUGAUGAAGAUGAGUCUGAUCUUUCUUCAGGAUAUGCAACAAAGUGAACUUAAUGCUUGGACCAUUAUAUCUUAGUUACUAUUUUUGUUUAGCAUUUCAAACUUCCUAGAUAGAUCAUUAUGAUCGAUGUAAUUUGGAUCCGCUAAAUAUACUAUAUGUUACUUGGUCA